rnacentral:rRNA from 1 species
AUGGCGCUCCUCAUCGAGGUAUCAUGCCCGCUCUACUGCAUCACUGAGGCCGUCGAGCGCGAGGGCAUGCACUCCCGGCCGCAGCAGUGGUUCCCGAUCUGCGCCGCGGCCAGGGGGAGCUGCCGUGCCGGGACCGCGCGGCAAGCAUGCAGACCUGCGACUCCUCCGACGGGAGGAGGAGAACAUGGUGGCGGCGGGCCAGUGGGAAGGGGGCGUCCGGGUCGACGAGGCGCUGCGAUACGAGGCGAAGGACGAGGACGAGGUGGGGAUCACCGUUUGCACGCACGGGUAGAUCGGCGGCGAGCCCGACGCCAGCGCUACCAACAUCGGCACCAGUAG